GAAUGGGUUUUGUUAUGGUCUGAUUGAACCAGUGAUCAGUAGAAUGGAUUGAGUUUGAGUUGAAUCCGAUUGGAUCUGUGGGCUAGUUUGGUUUGGGCCUAAGAUCUGAUCUGGACCUGUAAUCUGGUUUGAUUCAAUUGGGCCCAAUCUGUUUUGGGCCACAAUUAGCUGUGGGUUUAAAGGGUUCUGAUUUUGGGGUUUUGGUUUACCUGUUCUUAGGGUCUAUGUCUGAUCUUAGGGGCCCAUUCUUGGAUCUAUGAAC
rnacentral:lncRNA from 1 species